GUUAAAAACAACGGAGAAUGACAUUACUAGGUGUUAAGCAAGCCAGCAACUAGAUUGUGUCUGUUGAGCAUCGUGUCCACCACAACAUGAACUUAGAUUGGGAGUGACUUGACAAACAAAAAGAAUCAAAUUUUGAAAUAGCAAACCAUCAUGCAAUUUCAACAUGACAUUCACUGAGAAAGCAUUUCCAGGAUAAAAUUCAUUAUCAAUUGAUUGUUUCCUAACACCUGAAGGAAAAGGAUGCAAUAAUUAAGCAAAAAUGUACAAAGAUGUGCAACUGGAUGUCCAAAUAAACCAAAACAUGGUAUACUUUCAUGAGUUAUAACUACAGUUGGCAUCACCACAUUCACAACCUAGAAAGUGCAGUCUCCCCUGAUAUAUCAUCUCGGCAACCUCUGA